ensembl:lncRNA
CAGGGAGCGUCAAUGAGAGGUCUGUAAAAUUAAGUUUCUAUUUUAUUUUCUUUUAAAAAGUAAUAAUGUAAGAGCCAAACUCUGUGCCCUCAUGUGCUGGUUUCUGCAUUAAAUGUGAUUCUGCUGGACCAAUGCAUCACUUUGCAUGGAAGAUAUCAGCCAAUGGCAUUUACUGACAGCAAUGCAUGCCCUCAUCAGCUGCCAUGGUCACCAAACUUUUUAUUCUUUCUUUUCAGCCUCAUUCAACCUCAGAAAUGUUAGUCCUUUUCUUGAAGCGUAAACAGAGAGAACAAAGGAGCACAUGCUCAAAAAGAAGUAGGAGUGGGAGCGCCUGUGGACCCAGAGACUGACCAUCAAAGAAAGUAGUUGCCUGACAAUUUUCCAGUUUCUGCAUUCCUGCUCUUCGUACUCCAUUUGAGUCUACGGUGGACUCCUCCCUCCCCAUUUUGGUCUGCUUAGCACUCAUUUAUUUCUUCUGCUACUUAUGAACUCUGGUGAGACUGUUAAUUGUAGUGUCUCUCUGGCCUUUUGGUCCAGACAUGGGCGUGUGACCCAGUGAGGGUUGCUCCUAGAUUUGGUAUGUGGGCACUGGGAGAAAAAGCUCUCUCUUCUUUUUGAAGCAUGAGCUAUACGGGAUGUAGGUUUCCAAAGGAGCUCCUUUCUGCCACGUGUUGAGAGGUUGCCAAUAGUAAAAGGAUGAGGCCAAAACACAACAGAAGCCUAGACAAGUAAAGCUGAGUGGUUUGAGAAAGAGACAGAGAACCCAUACAACAGUCAGAGAUUCAACACACAUUAGCCAAAACCUCACCCUUCUACCUGAACUAUUUUGAGAGAACCUCUGUUCUUUGCAAAUAAAUUGUCCUUAAUGGAGUACUCUGCAAUCAUUGAAUUCAGUUUUUGUUUUAUUUUGCAGAUAGGAAAGUUAAGGCCCAGGGUGGCUAAGUGACUUCCUCAUGACAUUUCAGCAUUGACUUGUGGCCUCCCAAACACAAACCUAGGACCCUGUGAAUACCAAAAUCUGGGGAUACUCAAGUCCCUUAUAUAAAAUGGUAUAAUAUUUGCAUAUAACCCAUGCAUAUAAUCUCUAGAUUACUUAUAAUACCUAAUACCAUGUAAGUGGUAUAUAAAUAGUAGUUAUACUUUAUUGAUUUUUAUUUGUAUUUUUAGCUGUUGUAUUGUUGUUUUUAUUGUUUUUUUAUUCCGAAAUAUUUCCCAUCUGCCAUUGGUUGAAUACAGGAUGCAGAACUGGAGGAUAUGAAGGGCUGACUGUAGUUAGUAAAUUCAUAGAUAAGGAUCAAUCUUAUCAAAAUCAAAUAAAUGCAUGUUAAAAAUGUAAUGUCUUAGCUACUAAAUUCAUUUUCCCUAAAAUUAACAAUAUCUAAUACUAGAAGCAGCAUCUUCAAAAUUGGUUGUUCAUCUGGGAGACUGUGGUUAAAUUUCUUUUUUAGGCUUGAAGGCGUCAUAAUGCCCACAAUAUAUUUAUUUUCUCUCUUCUUUGGGAAAAGAAAAAUUGUGACUUUCCUAUUAUUCUGAAGUAAUUCCCACAAAGACUUCAAUACACCUUCCUCGGAAAGACACAUUUUGCAUCAUUGCAACAAUAAGUAUUCAUACAUUGUAAGGCUUGCAAACUUCCACUGAGAACGCAUUGCUCAAAAUAUUUGCCAGUUUGAGGUUUAAUGACACCUCAAGUGACAUUAUGUGUUUGCUGUCACUCACAUUUCCUAGACGAAUUUUUAAGGGAUGGAAAGAAAUCCUCUAGGUUGUAAUAGAACCCCAGUUUUGAGGGGUUAUUAUUUUGGACCUACAAAAAAAUUUAUAAUCAGAUAGCUUAAAUCAGUGUGGUAAUAUUUGCAUGCUGUACUGUAAUAUUGUUUUGCAUAAAGAAUAAAGGGACAAUGAAAUAACACUUUGAUAGUUUGUUUUAACACUUGAAAUUUUAAAGUAUUUGUUUCAUUGUGUAUUUUUCAAAAUGCAGACAUUAGGCCUGGCUUAAACAGUGAUCCUGUUUUGGCAGGCACUCAAUAAUAUUGUACGUGGCACCAUUCUUUGGAAAAUUUUUUUGUGUAUCAAUAACUUAAAAAUACUAUGGUCUGGGUGUGGUGGCUCACGCCUGUAAUCCCAACACUUUGGGAGGCCAAGGCGGGCGGAUCACCUGAGGUCAGGAGUUUGAGACCAGGCUGGCCAACAUGCUGAAACCCCACCUCUACUAAAAAUACAAAAAAUUAACUGGGCGAGGUGGUGUGUGCCUAUAGUCCCAGCUACUUGGGAGGCUAAGGAAUGAGAAUCGCUUGAACCCGGGAGGUGGAGGGUGCAGUGAGCCGUAUAUAUAUUUUUAUAUAUAUACACAUACGCACACACACAUAUAUAUACACACACACAUACAUACACACACAUAUAUACACACACAUAUACACACACAUAUAUACAUAUAUAUAUAUAUAUAUUAUGGCCAGCAGUCUAUCAAAAAAUUAGUA